CUUGAGAGUCUGCAUUCUUUCUAGAACUGUCUUUUUCUGAACUAAGUGUUGGAAAAUCUCCAUAAGUCAGAGAAAACCCAUCAUUCUUAGAGGACGUUACUCCCUGCAUAUAUGACAGCCAAUAAUGCUGGGUCAGGCAAUUUAAAAAGAGAGCAUGCAUAAAACCCACCAGAAAAAUAGGAGGAAAUGGGUUGGUGUUUUGUUUGGCAACUGCUGGAAGAAUCUCACAAAUAGAAUGCAAAUUACACAUAUAACUGCAGAAAACAUCAAUUGAAUAGCCAAAUCAACCAAACCUAGUGCUGCUGAGGCAUUCUUCCUCCUUAUAUUGCUAUUAUUCAAAAUUUCAUCUAAAAUCACUUCUUUCCCCAUCAGAACCAAUGGAGGUAAUGAGAGAUUGUGUUAAAAGAGGAUAAUCCUCCAUGCAAAUUAUGGUUUUCAUAACUUGAUAAUACACUUGCAAUAAAAGAAAGGAAAAGCUAAUGGUAUUGUAAUGCACUGGAAAAUUAAAGCAUCUAGUCUAUCCAGAAAUAUAAAUUGGAAAGCAGUGCAUAUAUAAUGCUAUAAUGAGUUCCUGUUGCUAGUUAUACU
rnacentral:misc_RNA from 1 species